UACCAGCACCCCGAGUGGUCGGGACGAUUAUUGGGCCUAAAGCAUCCGUAGCCGGUUUUACAAGUCCUCCGUUAAAUCCAGCUGCUUAACAGAUGGGCUGCGGAGGAUACUAUAAGACUAGGAGGCAGGAGAGGCAAGCGGUACUCAGUGGGUAGGGGUAAAAUCCUGUAAUCCUUCGGGGAGGACCAGUGGCGAAGGCGCUACACUAGAACGGCUCUGACAGUGAGGGACGAAGACCUGGGGCGCAAACCGG
rnacentral:rRNA from 1 species